GAUGGGGUGGGGGGCGCGAUCACGGAAGGAUUGUAUCAUGCGGACGCGCCAACAGUUUUGUUGUCAUUACUUAGAAUUCCUCAUGGGGGGGAGGGACAGAAACUACACACUAUAGCUUUAAUGAAACGUCGAUAGAGAUAUUGAAUGGGGCAAAAUCACUUCCGGAACCAGAGCCAUUCAAAAAAGAGAGAGAGAGAGAGAGAUCCUAUUGGCUGUUCUUCACAUGCAGACAGAGAGGGGAGAGGCAGAGCUGCAGGAUGAGGUCUCACUCUGCUUGAAAUUCUGGCGGGUUUUUUUUGUGUGCUUUCUACCUACUGCAGCUUUAACAAGGUACACAUUUUCUGCAGAGAUACUACUGUACGUUACAGCAACAAGCAUUGUACUCUAAAACACACACAAAGUCUAAAACCUAUUCUUUUUUUCUGAGGGUGAAAACAGGGCGAGAACUUGAAUCGAAUACAGAAGAUAAAGUGUUGGCCUUGAGUACAUCUACCUCUUCCUACGUCUGCAGUUAAACACCGACCUGGCGCCGGUUUGUCAUUUUGUGUAGCGGCUCAAUAUGUGAACUUAAUUUAUUUUGCUAUUUAUAGAAAACGAGGUAAGAUGCAUCGUGAGAGGAACGGGGAUGGAGGAGCUCUUGUGUUUGCCGUUCAUGGUUGACAUAUAAAGCAAGCAUAGAAUGAUAUGCAAGUGAAUCUGGAGCAUGUGUGGCUGCUUUGAAUGACCCUUUGAAUAAAAAUGAUCCCAAAUGUAAA